GCUGUACUGGAGAGAGCCAGCUCUCCUUGCAGUCUGCUCCUUGGGCGUUUCUUCGAGGGCUGAGUUAGAAGGCUGUCCAUCAUUUCAAAAACAUCAGAGGAACCACGGCUGAGUGUUCUCCUGCUCCCACCUGUGCUUUGGGAUGCGAAAGAAUAACAUUAGCACACAGAGGCCUCCACUUCCUCUUGGAUGCAUCUGGACCAAUCUGGAUAAUUUUAUUAGGCAAUCCACUGAGCCUGUGAUCAGUCUGAGCAGCUGAUGACGAGCAGCGCCAGGAUACGGUACUGGGCUGCUGAUCAAUUUUGCAUCUUUCAGAAGACUUCAAAAUUUAGAUUCAUGAAGCAUCAAUCUCAUAAGCCACAGUCUCACCAUGAGGACAUUAGGGCAGUCACAUCUGUACAAAAUAUCUUCACCAGCAAUCUUUCACCCUCUGAAAAAUCUUUUCUUCUUGAAGACCAGAAAGAUUGUUAUUGAGCUUUCCACAAAGCUGAAAUAACGCUGUGUGUUAAAAAAAUGUUAACAAUUUGAAGAAGUUAUAAAAAUUUAUAAGUUGACUGAAUACUUUGGAAAUUUCUGCAUAUUUUAAUAUAAAUAGGCAUUGCAGGCACUGGGAAUAGACCUGGAGGGCUGUAGCUUUAGUGAGGGCCCCUGGACUGCAUGCUCCCUGCAGUUGGCAUUGUUCACCUGUGCUUCUGAGGUACCUCUUCCAGUUCUGUUUUGUCCAAAAGGAAUCCAGUCUGCACACCUGGGGCUUGCUCUGUGAUGCAAAGUGCAGCACGAGCCUGUCAUACAGAAGUACCAUUUACAGAGCACAGACACAGAGAGAAUUAAUGAUGUGCAUAAGUCUGCGUAAGGAAAUAUGUUACAGAACUGAUCUUGGAUUUCCUCAGCUUACGAUGUUUAGCCACUGGACUGGCUCUCCUCGUGAUCUGCAGCACAGUUACAUUCCUUUCUCGUUGUGGCUCUUGGUCAUCCCAUCCUGCACAGCCAAGGAGGCUGCCACAGAUACAGCGAUCAGGGAAGAGACUGUCCUCUUGCUGCUCUUGCUCUGUGGUGUAUCUAUCUAUAGACAGCCUGGCUAGUUUAUAAGUCCCGGAAUCAGGAUCCUACAGGAGUUGUACAGGAUAAACCACUUUUAUGAAAGAUCUUUUAUCUGGAUAAAAGAGAGCUACUGUGAAUCUUCUUCCACCGUGGUCAAGUUAUGCGCAGUGCAUAAUGUGAAAGACAAGUCUGGAAGUUUUAGAUACCAUCUUUUGAAGAGAAUGAAACUAGAUUCAGUACAGCUGUCUAUAGUAAGCCUCUGGAGUUGAUGAAUGAUAAUUUUGGUUCCUUCUCAGAUUGAGGAGUGGAUGACUAAUGUCGUUGUGACUGGUGCCAUCUAAUUGGCUCAAAAGAAUCUUCUGGUUGUUCUCAUGAUUGGCAUCACUUCCCAUCAUGUGCAAGCCAUUGGAGAGCAAAGACCAUCUUUUGAACUGUCAUGCCACCCCCAGCUCUCCAUUGCCUAACCGAGGGUGCUUUGCAAUUGUUCUUGCCUACUGUAGUGAUGGAUCAUGGGAAAAAGCUUGCUCAGAGAGCCUCAUUCUGGAUGGGAGAUUCCUCCGUACCACGUAACAGCAGAUGUUUUUAACGCAGGCCUGAUGGGGAGAGGUGGCACUCUGGUGAUGAAGAAAUACUCCACACCAUUCAGCAGCCUAGCGAGAAGAAGGCGUUGUGCUCAUUUUGAAAAAGGCCAGUGCAAAAGUUAGCUAGUUGAAUGAAAAGCAUGUGUCUUUUGAAGAACAGUGACUGAAAGAAAUACUGAUGACUGCUGGGACAUCUACAGAAAAGGAUAAGAAAAUUACUCUAUUACAACAGGGGCUCUGUUAACUCUUUCUUUGCUAUACAACCCUAGAGCCACAGCCACUUUGCAAGACAGAGAGGAGGAAGAUGGUGGUUGGAUUCACCAAGAGGGUGGAACAGUAUUUUGUCAUUAAUUGUUUUAGCUACCGAAUAACUGCUCUAGCUUUUCUCAGGGAUGGAGCUGCAGUGCCUUCCUCCAGGAUAGACUUGUGGGCUUUUCUCCAGGAGGGCAAAGAAAGAAGUGGACAACACUCAAACAUGUAACCUGUGUGGUGGAAGCAUGAGGACAACUUUGAAUGCACAGUGGACUCCAAGCUGUGUGGUAGCUACAGAUCAGCGGUGCUCAGGCAGGGUGUUAUCACGGGAGGUGCCUCCCAACCCGCAUGCAGUCAGGGAGCUGCGGUGCUGCGCAGAGGCACCUGCACUAGCCGGGAGGCUGGUGCUUGCCAGGCAGCCCCAUCUCCUGUGGGUUGUGCAGCAUCCGCACUCACCCUGCUGCAGUCCAAGCUAACCUGGGGCCAGCUCAAGACCUCCCAGCUCCCGGCUGUACACUCACAGAAGAGGAUCAGAUGGCCCCUUGGAUGCUUGCUGCCCUCCUUCCCAAACACACCCGCUGUCUGAUCCUUUUCCUCACUCUUCUUUAUGGAGAAACCCUUGAGUUGGAGAUCUAUAAACUGCCAGUAUAUGAGGGAUAAAGGCAUUCUGCAGUAGCUGGCAUUUUUGGCAUUUAAAUUAUUGAUAGUGUCCUAGAGUAUAAACCAUAUGUCUUGUUUUGGUGCUGCUCACGGGCAGGACAAAACUGAGGAAAACCUGAGGGACACCAAGGAGCAGUAUAUGGCAGGGAGGAGCCCCACUCCCCUGCCCACCUUUGGAUUUAUCCUGAGGAAUGGAGGCUUUGCAGUUCAUAUAGGCAGCGCCUUCCCUCAGCCUUGUAAAACUAAAGAUAAAUGCUAAUGGCAGAAGCCCUUCUCAGUAUGAAUGGGCAAACAUCAGCCCCUGAAAAAUGCACUUGCUGUUUUAGUUAAAAAUGAACAAAUCAGUUCUUGUGCUUUUGAGAAUUUAAACUUCCCUAAGUAAGCGAUAGAUUUUUCAGAAGAAAAAAAUUUACUAGGAGGCAAUCCAGUAAGUCACAUUAAGAAUAGGCAGGAGCCCUAGGAGGCCCAUAUUCAAAUCUUAGAUUUGUCAGCAUUUCCCAAUAUGGUCCUGGAAAAAUCAGCUAAAUCAUUUAUAAGACAAGAAUAAUCUUUCAGUGUAGUCACAGUGUACUUUUCUGACAAACCCAGAGCGGUGACAGGCUUGUUACAGCAGGAAUAAAAUUCACCUUGCUGCUGGGGUACUGUGGUAACUAAUUAGGUAAAACGUUUUCUUAGUGUUUUUGAACAAGGGAAAAGGUGGGUGCUGUCAGUUCCCUGGCUGUCCAAAAUCACUGAGUGCCAUCAUGUCCUGAAAGAAGCAAUAGCUGGACUGACCCUGGAACUUAUUUGCAUCGAGGGAAAGGACAGUGCUGUCCUUAUUCUUAAUUUAUCAGUCCUCACUGAACUGAGAGCUGACUGAGGCUCUGACUGAGAGGAGCUCAUGCUGUACUGUGAGAUUUCGGUUACUGUGGAGGCUUUCUCCUUGCCAGGCUAAACUGCAUGCUGGAAGCAGAGAAUAGGGAAGGUCCCAAAGAGGCACUUCUCUUAAAAGAAACAAAAACCAUUUUUUUUCAGUUUGUGUGUGACAGUGAGGCAGCCUUGGUUAGCAUUGGUUUUGGGAAACCUCUGCAGUUGAUCACGACAGGAGAUGAGUAAGAUCAUGCUCGCUCAUGAAAGCACCUUCUUCCAGAGACCACUGCUUGCUCCUGAUCUGCUGCUAAUUAGUCUCCGCCCUGUGAUACUGAGUCAUUAUAUUCUUUGCCCUUUUCCAUGGCUGCUUUUGGUGUGGAAACUGACACAAAUAUUGCUCCCCUGCUGGAAAUCAUCAUGUCAUCUUCAUCGUCAGUACCUGUAAGCCCAGAUGAGAAGGGAAUCUUUUUUUAUUAUUAUUAUUUUGGAUAAUGAUCUCUGACAGGAAUGCUUUGAAGCUCAGCCAUGCUGUGGUGGUACAGUGCACAUAGCAUCUGACUCGUUUCUGUAAUGUCACAAAUUUUAACUCCAAAAGCAGAAAAGCUCUUAAGCAGCCUUUAAAGGUGCUGCCAGGAAAAGGUGGAGGGAUUCUAC